rnacentral:rRNA from 1 species
CCUACGGGUGGCAGCAGUGAGGAAUAUUGGUCAAUGGGCGAGAGCCUGAACCAGCCAAGUCGCGUGAAGGAUGACGGCCCUACGGGUUGUACACUUCUUUUGUCAGGGAGCAGUUUGGUCCACGCGUGGGCUUAUCGAGAGUACCUGAAGAAAAAGCAUCGGCUAACUCCGUGCCAGCAGCCGCGGUAAUACGGGGGAUGCGAGGUUUAUCCGGAUUUUUUGGGUUUAAAGGGUGCGUAGGCGGAAUAUCAGGUCAGCGGGAAAAAUUCGGGGCUAAACCCCGUCGUGCCGUUGAAACUGAUGUUCUUGAGUGGGCGAGAAGUAUGCGGAAUGCGUGGUGUAGCGGUGAAAUGCAUAGAUAUCACGCAGAACUCCGAUUGCGAAGGCAGCAUACCGGCGCGCAACUGACGCUGAAGCACGAAAGCGUGGGUAUCGAACAGGAUUAGAUACCCGAGUAGUC